GAGUAAGGGAUUCUUAUGGGUGUUCUGCCCCCGGAAAAUAAGAGCUCUGACUUCUCCCCAUGCCUGUCGCUCGUUAGCUUCCUCUUGUCAUAUGUACUUUCCUUCUCUCCCCACACCAGGCCCUUUAAGAAAAGGACCACCAUGGGGCUGGUGAAAUGGCUCAGCGUGUAGGACACUUGCUGUCAAGCCUGACAACUUGGAAUCUAAUCCCCAGAACCCACAAGGUGAAGGGAGAACUGAAACCCUCUGAACUCCAGAAGAUAGGCCAUGGGACAUGCAACGCCCCCCCCCCCCCGCCAACACACACACACACACACACACACACACACACACACACACACACACACACACACGUCUCCCGGUGCCGUAGCACACUUCGGUGUUCUCAGGAGGCAGAGGCAGACUGAUUCGAAGACAGACAGAGCUACAUAACUGUCAAGCAGAUGACCCGAAUGGCCUAUGUGAUUGACUGUUCUCUGCAUUCCACAGAUCUACCCACAGGAAGCACCACAAAAGAAGAAAGUUGAAUGGCUCUAGGCACAGAGGGUCCACCUGGCACACCUGUAGACACUUCUUGCACACCUUCAGCAGCCCGGUGACAGCCAUCCACCAACUGUCGGGUCCAGGCUGCCAGCUCCUGCGGCGACUCCACACUGAACAGGUGAGUGUCCACACCGUGGCGUGUACCCGUGCGCAGGGCAAAGGAGAGCUCUGCAUCAUAGGGCACUGAGCCCUUGGAAGGGCCUGAGUGCACCAGCCUGUGUGCAGAGCAGAGGGCCAAGCAUGAGGCCUGGGAGUGGGGCGGGGCCAGGGCAAUGAGCUGCAUCCUUUGGUGUCUUAUGGGGGGACAGGGAUUGCAGGGGUUCGUCUCCUCCAUCCUCCCCUGAUGCUCACUUCAGCCUUAGUCAUGUCCUCACGCAUGCACUUUCGCAGCCUGAACACUCACCAUCUCCCACUGGCUCAGACUCACCUCCUGUAGAUUAUUAUUCAAAAUCCCCCCCUCUGAGAAGAUCUGUCUAGAGGAGUUCCUUUGUUACUACUGUCACUGCUUUUCACCAGGGUUGCAGAAAUCAUACACUCUGAAUGCUUUUAUUUGGAUGGGGUUUCAUUAUGUCACCUUGGCUAGAACUCGCUAUGUAGACCAGACUUGAUUCUUCAACUCUGCCCCGAGUCCUGGGAUUACAGGCAUGUGUCCCCACACCCAGCUGAAAUUACAUGUGUAUGUAUAUAAUUUGGCCCAACCAAAAUGAUAUAUUUUAGUAGUUUUGGUAGACUUUUGGCUGACCUUUUCACUAGCUAGACUAAGGUAGAAGUUCUUGUCUAUUUUAUACAAUACUAUAUUCCUAGCAAUUAAUAAAUGAUUAAUAAAAAGUGUUUAACCAAUACUUGUCUGAAUUAAUAAGUCACUUGAUUAGGCUCCUUGUCAGCUGGCCCAGAACCCAGUCCAGAAAGAGAAGUCGUGAUAACAAGAGCCCCAGACCCUGCAGCUUGAUUCUCACUUGCUGUGUGGCUUUGGGAAGCUCACUGUCCCUCUCUAGUCACUAAACCUCUAAGUUCUGGCCCAGAGCCCUUCUGUUCUCACUCCACCCACUCUCUGUUUCCCUUGGGAGUGUUAACUGGAGCCCCCACAUUCCAGACCUGAGUCUCAGACCCUCCAGUCCCAAGCCACAUUCCCUAUGCUUCUCACACGCUCACACACGCCCGUGUGUGUGUGUGUGUGUGUGUGUGUGUGUGUGUGUGUGCCAAACCUUCUACUUACCCAUGGCAUCUCCUGCCCAUCUGGCAAGCACCAAGCCUGGGAGCUCCCACCCAUGCGCUUUCCACUGCAAAUGUCACUGUUCUUCCCCAUCUGUGUCCCCACCCACCUGCUCGCCUUAGUCCCAUGUCUCUCAAAGCUAUGGCAGCCUUCCAGCUUCUGCCCUUCCCUCCCCAGUGAAUGUUCUCUGUGGCAAUCACAGGGCUCCCUCUAAAACACAGUCCCGGUCUCCUGACUACCCAGCUUGACCCCUCUGGUACAGUUUGUCACAAGUGUUAAGACAGUACUGGGCCUGGGGAGAUGGCUCCGUGGGAAGAGGGCUUUCGGCCCAAGCAUGAGGACCUGACUCUGGGUUCCUAGCAUUCAUGUAAAAGCCAGGUAUGGCAGCCAGACAUCUGCAGUCCCAGUGCUAUGGAAAGCGGAGACAGGGGCCACUGACCUGUCAGCCUGUCAGUCUAGCCAAAACAGAAAGCUCUGAGUUCAGUGAGAGACUCUGUCUCAAAAAGAUAGUAUGAGGGCAAUGAUAGCACUUGCCUUUAAUCCCAGCAGUAAGAGGCAGACGCAGAAAGAUCUCUGCAAGUGCAAGGCCAAUUCAGUCUGUGUUGCGAGUUCCAGACUAGCCAAGGAUACAUAGACUCUGCCUCACAAAAACUAUGUGUGUGUGUGUGUGUGUGUGUGUGUGUGUGUGUGUGUGUGUGUGUUUGAGUAUGCAUGUACAUACAGAAAUAAGAGGCAGACGCAGAAAGAUCUCUGCAAGUGCAAGGCCAAUUCAGUCUGUGUUGCGAGUUCCAGACUAGCCAGGGAUACAUAGACUCUGCCUCACAAAAACUGUGUGUGUGUGUGUGUGUGUGUGUGUGUGUGUGUGUGUGUGUUUGAGUAUGCAUGUACAUACAGAAAUAUUUAUAUAUAUGCACAUACAAACAUAUGUGCAUGCUUACUAUAUAUGUAUAUAUACAUCCAUAGGUACAUGGACAUGUUCUAGCACUUCAUGCCUCUGCACUUCUGAUCUCCCCUAAGAUGUUCUACACCCUUCCUCAAAAAGCACACUCCUCAUCCAUCAAAGUCCAUUUCUAAUGUCACCUCCUUACGUCUUCCCUUGCCAAGCUAGACAGUUAAGUGUCUCCUAUACCCUUCAAUGUAAUGGCUCUUCUGGGCCUGUCUCCCAACUCUGGAUUCUCCCUGAGGGUGGUGACUGUCCCCUGAACCAUGCAGUAUAAGAUGUAGGUGUCAGUAACAGUUAUCACUUCACAGUUUUCUGUUCUGAGCGAGCCUAGAGAAAAGUGUGGCCUAGAAGGAGCAGAAUGUGCUUCAGGUCACCUGGGGAACAACUGGAGGCAGAACAGGGCUAGGCUGUGGAGCUUCUGGGGCCCAUCUGCAAUUCCACCUUCCCAAGUCUAAGCGCAACACAGCUCCCCUGCUCCUCGGUACCUGGUGGCAAUGAGCGGGGCAGUGCGGGCCGGCCUGCUCAGGGCCUCUCGAGUCUGGGGGAGAGAGCAGUAGAGGAGCAGCUCCUUCUCAGUCAGCAGGGCCAGGGUUGGUGCUGUACCCCCACUGGGCAACUGCAAGCAAAAUGGUAAUGAGGAGAGUGGACGGGAAAGGGGCCCCAGGGCCAGGAGGGCAUGGGGUGAUAAGGGUCCCAGAAGUGGGACCCAGCAAGCACCUGUUCCGUGAGCCAGCCAAUCUGCUUGAUGUCCUGGCUCCCAGCUGUACCUGUGGCUGUCAGCAGCGCCUGCAGCUCAUCCUUGACCCAAGGUAUAAAUGUGCUGAUCUGAGCUUGGAUGGCACCUGCCCAUGACCUUGCACUGGCCUCAUCCUUGGCCCUCAAGAAGAGAGUGUCCUGGCCAUCUGCUGCACAGAUCUCCAGAUACCUGAAGGCAAAGUGGGAUAAAAGACAGGGCGUGUCACUAGUCAGGUAUCCAGCCUAGACACAUGGCCCAAUAAACUCAUCACACCAAACUGAAGGAAACCACACUGGGAGAAAUCACACAUGAGAGAUUUGCUAGACAACCAGCCAAAGGUGUUAGAACCUGGCAGGAUCUAGAGACAAGAAACUACAACACAUAUAUAUAUACACACAAAUAUCUGUACACCCACUCAAAUGUGUGCUAGGGGCCACAGUUAUGGUGCAGAGGCCUUUUCUCCUGGUUUCCCUGCUGAGAUAGCUUUCCAUUAUCCCUGUUGCCUAGAACCUAAAUCAUCUGUUAAUAGGGGAAAUAUAUUUAAAAUCUUAAGAUGCAAAGUUUACUUAUAAUAAAGACAUAGCCAAGUGGUAUACAAGUAUCAAGUAAUCGAAGCACUCUUGGGCUAAGGCAGGCAAGAACAUUCUAAAGAGACUCUACCCACCCCCGCUCCCUGAAAAGUCAGGUCUGGUGGCUCACAUCUGCAGUGUCAGCACUUGGAAGGCUGAAGCAGAAGGAUCCGAAGAUCAAAGUUAUCACUAGGGCAGUCAAGAUGACUCAGUGGGUAAAGGCAUGCACGGAUAGCCAGGCCUAAUAAUUCCUGACUCCUGAGACCUAUUCAUGCACGUGUGCACACACAGAGAGACAGAGAGACAGAGAGAGAGAAACAGAGACAGAGAGAGACAGAGACAGAGAGAUAGAAACAGAGACAGAGAGAGACAGAGACAACAGAUAGACAGAAUAAAUAAAUGCAAUAAAAAAUUUAAAAGCUGAACUACCUGUACUCAACACUGUCUCAAAAAGAAAAAAAGGUUGGGAAAAGAGAAAAAUUGAGUAGAGAGAAAAGAAAAAAAAAAAAAAAAAAAAAAAAGCCAUGCCAGUAAGUAUGAUGGGAGAGUUCCAGGGGUAGCAAUAGUGGUGCUGGAAAGGGUUUCCAAAAUGUUUUGGGUUACAGAUUCACUUCCUUUGGGUUUCUGUACUACACAGAGUAGGGCAGAAAAAGGAGGCUGGCUCUCAACACCUAAGCCAUCCACCUUUACCCCCGCUUUCCUCUACUGCUGAACUAGAAAGCAAAGUACUUGAAUUCAUGGCUUCCCUUGCAGCUACGCUUGUCACAUGACCCAAUUCUAACCAAUGAAGUAUUCAGAGAAGUCUGUGGACAUGAAAGGUAAACCUUUCCUAGAUCAUAGUCUCCAAAGACAGGCUCCACCAAACCCUCCCUCCUUACACACAUAGUCUAUUUCUCCCAGCAAAAGUAUAAAAUUCAAAAUACCAGAUGUGGUGUUGUGUGCCCAUGUUCCCAUCACUUGUUAAGUGAAAGCGGCAGGAUCAGAAAUUCAGGGCUGGGGAUUUAGCUCAGUGGUAGAGCGCUUACCUAGGAAGCGCAAGGCCCUGGGUUCGGUCCCCAGCUCCGAAAAAAAGAACCAAAAAAAAAAAAAAAAAAAAAAAAAAAAGAAAUUCAAGGUUUUUCUAGACUAUGCAGUAAAAUUGAGAAUAGCUUCAUCUACUAGAGACCCUUUCUUUAAAAAAUAAUUAUGAAAGAGAAGUAAUGGCUACUCCCUAGAACAAGUAAUCAGGCAGUGGUGGAAUAUGCAUUUAAUACCAGAACUUGGGAGUCAGGUGGAUCUUUGUAAGUUCAAGGUCAGCCUAGUCUGCAGAGUUCUAAGACAUCCAAGGACACACAGAGAAACCCUGUUUCAAAAAAGAAGAAGAAAAA